AGUGAACGCUGGCGGUAGGCCUAACACAUGCAAGUCGAACGGCAGCACAGUAAGAGCUUGCUCUUACGGGUGGCGAGUGGCGGACGGGUGAGGAAUACAUCGGAAUCUACUUUUUCGUGGGGGAUAACGUAGGGAAACUUACGCUAAUACCGCAUACGACCUACGGGUGAAAGCAGGGGAUCUUCGGACCUUGCGCGAUUGAAUGAGCCGAUGUCGGAUUAGCUAGUUGGCGGGGUAAAGGCCCACCAAGGCGACGAUCCGUAGCUGGUCUGAGAGGAUGAUCAGCCACACGGGAACGUAGACACGGCCCAGCCCCCGACGGGAGGCACAGGUGGGGAAUUUUGGACAAGGGGCGAAAGCCUGCUCCGCCAAUCCGGGGUGGUAAAAAAAGGCCUUGGGUUGUUAAGCCCCUUUUUUGGGGAAAAAAAAGCAGCAGUUUAUACCCCCCUUUUUCUGAGGUUCCCAAAAAAAAAACCCCCGCCUACCUUGGUC
rnacentral:rRNA from 1 species